AGAGUUUGAUCAUGGCUCAGGACGAACGCUGGCGGCGUGCUUAACACAUGCAAGUCGAGCGGAAAGGCCCUUCGGGGUACUCGAGCGGCGAACGGGUGAGUAACACGUGAGCAACCUGCCCCUGGCUCUGGGAUAGCUCCGGGAAACCGGGAUUAAUACCGGAUAUGACCUGCGCGGGCAUCUGCGCGGGUGGAAAGUUU
rnacentral:rRNA from 1 species